rnacentral:tRNA from 1 species
AUUUAAAUAGUUUAAUAAGAAUAAUAACUUGUGGUGUUAUAGGUACAUUUAAUGUUUUAAAUC